rnacentral:other from 1 species
UUGUGUCUGCCAUGUUUGACAGGGAGCUAUAUUUGAUUGAACCGUAACAAGAACCCAGGGAGGCCACUGAUUCUGAUGGAGGAGCGGACCCGCCUUUGAGCGGGAGGUUCCUGAAAGAUCAAGCCGCCCACCUAGAAUAAGGGUUCUAUCAAAUUCCUCCCAUCGGCAUAGUUGCGGAUGCCAU